UACGUAGGGUGCAAGCGUUGUCCGGAAUUACUGGGCGUAAAGAGCUCGUAGGCGGUUUGUCGCGUCGUCUGUGAAAACUCGAGGCUCAACCUCGAGCUUGCAGGCGAUACGGGCAGACUUGAGUACUGCAGGGGAGACUGGAAUUCCUGGUGUAGCGGUGAAAUGCGUAGAUAUCUGGAGGAAUACCGGUGGCGAAGGCGGCGUUCUGGACUGCAACUGACACUGAUGAACGAAAGCCAGGGGAGCAAACGGG
rnacentral:rRNA from 1 species